CUUAGUUGAAGGGCCGCGGUAUUCUGACCGUGCCAAGGUAGCAUAAUCAUUAGUCUCUUAAUUGGAGGCUUGUAUGAAUGGUUGGACAAAAAAGUGUCUGUCUCUAUAGUAAAAUUAAAAUUUGAUUUUUGAGUGAAAAAGCUCAAAUAAGUCAAGAAGACGAUAAGACCCUAUAAAGCAUUAUGUUGGGGCGACAAAGGUAUAAAUUAUAACUGCUUACAAAAGAAACAUUUAUAUAUGGAAAGAUCCCUUUUAAGGAUUAGAAGAUUAAGUUACUUUAGGGAUAACAGCGUUAUUUCUUUUGAGAGUUCAUAUCGAAAAAGAAGUUUGCGACCUCGAUGUUGAAUUAAAAUAUCAAUAUAGUGCAGCAGCUAUAUAUGAGGGACUGUCGACCUUAA
rnacentral:rRNA from 1 species